CAGCAGCCACGGUAAAACGUAGGGUGCGAGCGUUAAUCGGAAUUACUGGGCGUAAAGCGUGCGCAGGCGGUUAUAUAAGACAGAUGUGAAAUCCCCGGGCUCAACCUGGGACCUGCAUUUGUGACUGUAUAGCUAGAGUACGGUAGAGGGGGGUAGAAUUCCACGUGUAGCAGUGAAAUGCGUAGAUAUGUGGAGGAAUACCGAUGGCGAAGGCAGCCCCCUGGGAUAACACUGACGCUCAUGCACGAAAGCGUGGGGAGCAAACAGGAUUAGAUACCCCCGUAGUCCCUGUCUCUUAUAC
rnacentral:rRNA from 1 species